GUGUCCAGCAGCCGCGGUAAUACGUAGGGCGCAAGCGUUGUCCGGAAUUAUUGGGCGUAAAGAGCUCGUAGGCGGUUUGUCGCGUCUGCUGUGAAAGCCCGGGGCUUAACCCCGGGUGUGCAGUGGGUACGGGCAGACUUGAGUGCAGUAGGGGAGACUGGAACUCCUGGUGUAGCGGUGAAAUGCGCAGAUAUCAGGAAGAACACCGAUGGCGAAGGCAGGUCUCUGGGCUGUUACUGACGCUGAGGAGCGAAAGCAUGGGGAGCGAACAGGAUUAGAUACCCUGGUAGUCC
rnacentral:rRNA from 1 species